GUGGGGAAUAUUGGACAAUGGGCGAAAGCCUGAUCCAGCCAUGCCGCGUGUGUGAAGAAGGUCUUCGGAUUGUAAAGCACUUUAAGUUGGGAGGAAGGGCAGUAAGUUAAUACCUUGCUGUUUUGAUGUUACCGACAGAAUAAGCACCGGCUAACUUCGUGCCAGCAGCCGCGGUAAUACGAAGGGUGCAAGCGUUAAUCGGAAUUACUGGGCGUAAAGCGCGCGUAGGUGGUUUUGUAAGUUGGAGGUGAAAUCCCCGGGCUCAACCUGGGAACUGCCUCCCAAACUGCAUGACUAGAGUACGGUAGAGGGUAGUGGAAUUUCCUGUGUAGCGGUGAAAUGCGUAGAUAUAGGAAGGAACACCAGUGGCGAAGGCGACUACCUGGACUGAUACUGACACUGAGGUGCGAAAGCGUGGGGAGCAAACAGGAUUAGAAACCCGGGUAGUCC
rnacentral:rRNA from 1 species